rnacentral:rRNA from 1 species
ACGGGGUGCAGCAGGCGCGAAACCUCCACAAUUCACGCAAGUGAGAUGGGGUUACCUCGAGUGCUAUCUGAAGAAGGUGGCUUUUCCAUGGUGUAAUGAGCCGUGGGAAUAAGGGGGGGGCAAGACUGGUGUCAGCCGCCGCGGUAACACCAGCCCCACGAGUGGUGGGGAUGAUUAUUUGGCCUAAAGCGUCCGUAGCCAGCUCGGUAAAUCUCUCGUUAAAUCCAGCGUCCUAAGCGUUGGGCUGCGAGGGAAACUGCCGAACUAGAGGGUGGGAGAGGUCAGCGGUAUUCCUGGGGUAGGGGCGAAAUCCAUUGAUCCCAGGAGGACCACCAGUGGCGAAGGCUGCUGACUAGAACACGCCUGACGGUGAGGGACGAAAGCUGGGGUAGCGAAUCGGAUUAGAUACCCGAGUAGUCCCAGCCGUAAACGAUGCAGGCUAGGUGUUGGGUCGGCCAUGCGCCGCCUCAGUGCCACAGGGAAGCCAUUAAGCCUGCCGCCUGGGGAGUACGGCCGCAAGGCUGAAACUUAAAGGAAUUGGCGGGGGAGCACCACCAGGCGUGAAGCCUGCGGUUUAAUUGGAGUCAACGCCGGGAACCUUACCGGGAGCGACAGCAGAGUGAAGGCCAGGCUGAAGGUCUUGCCAGACGAGCUGAGAGGAGGUGCAUGGCCGUCGCCAGUUCGUGCCGUGAGGUGUCCUCU